GGCGCUUGAGGUUUCUGCCUUGAGCGAUCGGCAUGCUGGUUGUGAGGCAGAAAAGAGAAAGCCCCGUAGUUAAUUUUCAUUAACCCACGAGGCUGCCCAAUGUCCCAACAACAGCAGGGUAGCCUCUUACCGCGCUCUGCGCAAGGAGGAGU
rnacentral:antisense_RNA from 1 species